rnacentral:rRNA from 1 species
AUUGAACGCUGGCGGCAGGCCUAACACAUGCAAGUCGAGCGGAUGAGGAAAGCUUGCUUUUCGAUUCAGCGGCGGACGGGUGAGUAAUGCCUAGGAAUCUGCCUGUUAGUGGGGGAUAACUCGGGGAAACUCGGGCUAAUACCGCAUACGUCCUACGGGAGGAAGUGGGGGAUCUUCGGACCUCACGCUAACAGAUGAGCCUAGGUCGGAUUAGCUAUUAGGUGAGGUAAUGGCUCACCUAGGCGACGAUCCGUAACUGGUCUGAGAGGAUGAUCAGUCACACUGGAACUGAGACACGGUCCAGACUCCUACGGGAGGCAGCAGUGGGGAAUAUUGGACAAUGGGCGAAAGCCUGAUCCAGCCAUGCCGCGUGUGUGAAGAAGGUCUUCGGAUUGUAAAGCACUUUAAGUUGGGAGGAAGGGUAUUCACCUAAUACGUGGGUACUUUGACGUUACCAACAGAAUAAGCACCGGCUAACUCUGUGCCAGCCGCCGCCGUAACAC